AAUUAUUAUUUAAUCCAUUGUGUCUCAAUUGAAUAAUUUCUUUUUUCGAAUUCAUAAAUUAUAUCCAAAAAACAAAAUCUACAAAUCAUACAAAUUAAAGUACUACAAAUGAAGCGUUCAAGAUUGCUCAGUCUCUCUUUCAAAUUGUUCAAUCACAAAUCACAAAGCAUUUAAACUUGCAGUUGCAUGAGAGAGCUUUAGGAAUUGCAUCAGCAAUGCAUGUCAUUUUUUGAGAAUGAAGAAGAAUAACAAAAGUGUUGGGCUUGGGUUCCCCCCUCUAUGGAGAACCCACAUUUUUGUUGAAGCCCACAUAUUUUGGCCCAUUAGGGCUAGUAAUAUAUUUGUCUUCUGCUACACUUUUACACAACCAUAAUUCUCAUUUUUUAUUGCCCAAAACACUAGAAAGAAUGAGAGAAAAACAAAGAGCAAAGUGUAGAAUUUUCCAAGGUGGAUAAAAAUGCCUUUCUGAGCUUUGGGAGCUUGUUUACUGUUGGA
rnacentral:misc_RNA from 1 species